GACAGCCACCUUCUUGCUGGAUCUCACGUGGAGAGAAUGAAAACCAGCUCUCCUGCAUCUCUUCUUAGAAGGACUCAUCCCAUUACGGGAUCCCACCUCAGGACCUCAUUAAAUGGAAUCACCCAGUGCCCCAUGGAUUCUCCUGGCCUGGACAUCCCCAGGGAAUGCUGUCUGCACAACCUUGAAACUUGCCCGUAGUGGUGGGCUUUUCUUGCAUUCACGUGACAAGCGUUUAUGGAGUUCCCACUGUAUGCUGGUCACCAGCUGUGGUGCUGCCCCAUGAAGCCCUCAGGAGCAACGGAUAGAAGCAAACAGCGCCAGCACCUGUUAAAUGGAUCAGCAAGGGCAAAUGCUGAGAAAAUGAGGCCAUCCUGCCUCGCUCCGCCCCCAGGGCAGCCGACCCCCUUCUGCAGCCUGGAGCGCCAGGCGCAUCAGCCUCAGGAAGUAGCCGAAAUACACUGACCUGUUUUCCAGGAGGCAGCGGCGCCUUCUUCUCCCACCCUCGAUGGUGAGAAGCCGCCAACCAUUUCCAUCCCAAAUUGAUUUCAAAUAAGGAAGAGUUAUCACAUACCAUCAUAUGGGAAUAAUUUAUCACUUGUUAAUAAAAGAGCAAUUACUUAUUCACGUUGCCCCUGCCUGUGCGCUGUGGGUUCAGUUGCAGAGACAUGAUUAGGACCCUCACAGAAGCCAAAGGAAGCUUGUUUGUGCUCAGCCACGACCACCCUUCCCUGGGCCUGAGGGUCCUCAGUCUGGGGUUGGGGGCUUAGAUCUAUGAGAUGGGAGCAGGGCAGAGGUGAGGAGAGGUCAGGAGGAGUGGCAGCAGGACUGUGGAAGGCCCAAGCACACAGAUGGACUUUCAGGCUGGAAGCUGUCCCUUUAAAUGUCUGGAUUUCAGAGGCUUCUGGAGCCAAGAGCCUGAUCGUCCCUGGGGACGCGGAGAGGGGGUAGGGAGUGGGGGAGGCGUACUCGGCCACCCUUGGCUGAGCAGGGGCUGAAGAAGGGCGUGUGGGCCCUCAUCCCUGCACCAGACACCAGGCCCCGCCCUGCUGGAGCUCUCAGCCCCACUUUCUCCUGCACCUGGGAGACGCCUACUUCUGACCCAUGUUCGCCUCCACCUUCGGCAGACACACUCUAUUUUCUCCUUUUUAUUUAUCCCUGCCUCUGAGAUUUCAGUGCAGCCUUUUUUAGAAAGACAACGCUGUGGUCAACUAUAGCUCGCUCAAAGUUAAAACCUGCGCCCAGCCCUCAGAGGCUGGUCUGGAAAAAUCAGCUUGCAUUCCUGGAAGGCAGCCACUAUUGCCUCAUUCUUCAUUUUUCCCGGUGGUUACCUUCACAUUGCCAUGGCUCCUUCCCCAGCUCCCUCUUCUUUAGCACACUCCCCAGUGUGGCUGUCUUGCUACCUUCAGUUAAUUCAUAACCAGUGUUUCCAAGCUCAGGUCACAUAAAUCAAUGCUCUUCGCUA